UUCCUCAUGUUGGCAAACCACUUGGAAAGCCCGAGCUCAUGUUGAUGAGGUCACUAGCCAGCGUAACGUCUCCGCAGAUACCCUUGAGUCAAUGCAACAUGAAAACUUCCACAACUGGUUCAAAGCUCAUAUAAAGAAAUUGGAGAGGAAAAAUGGCAUUGAUAGUAUUGAUGACAAUAUUAGAUGGCUAGCACGUGGCCCGGUUGAUGUCGCCAAAAGAUACCGUUCUUUCAUCUCUAGAGGCUACCGGUUCAGACCUAAACGCUUGGAUAGAGUGACUCAAAAUAGUGGAGUAGUGGUAACUGCAAAAACCUCUACAUAUGCUGCACCAGGUGAUGCAACCCCUGUUUUAGGUGAAGUGA